rnacentral:rRNA from 1 species
GAUGAACGCUGGCGGCGUGCUUAACACAUGCAAGUCGAACGGAAAGGCCCAAAGUUGCUUGUGUACUCGAGUGGCGAACGGGUGAGUAACACGUGGGUGAUCUGCCCUGCACUUCGGGAUAAGCUUGGGAAACUGGGUCUAAUACCGGAUAGGACCACAUCUUGGAUUGUGUGGUGGGGAGCUUUUGGGGGUGGGGGGAGGUCGCGGCCUAUCAGCGUGUUGGUGGGGUAAUGGGCUACCAACGCGUCGACGGGUAGUCGGCCUGUGGGGGUGUAGGGCGACAUUGGGACCUAGGUGAGGCCCAGGCUGCGAAGGGAGGACAAAGGGGGGAAUCUUGCACAAUGGGGACCAGGCUGGUGCAGCGAGCCCGCGGGGGGGAAGGCCGCCUUGUGGGUGUAAAAACGCUUCAGGAGGGAAGAAGGCUUAUGUGACGGUACCUGGAGAAGAAGCACCGGCUAACUACGUG